rnacentral:lncRNA from 1 species
AGAAUCGUCUGACAAACGUUUUAACCUAAUUGGUGAAAAUAAGCUUCCGGUUAUACGACGUCAUUAGUGGCUUCCGCUUCCGGUAAGAACAGAAAAGUUUAAACGAAGAUUGUAGAAAGAAACCAUGCACACAUUCGACACAGGGAUCCCUCACAGUGAAGCAUGAGGAUCAGAGUACAUACAGCUGGACUGUGGAAGUCUCUUUCUCCUACCCAGUCAACAGAAAACAUGUUCACACACAUCUAUGGAAUAGUUUUCCCAUACUUCUGUAAUCUGGAUGAAGACACAAACCACCCUCUGAAGCUGCUACCAGAGUAUGUCUCUGUAGGUGACCCACAAGACUGUGCUGAGUCUAGAUGAGAAAUGGACUGAGGCGGCUGCUGUCACUACGAUAGAGAUCAUGCCCAUGUCCCUCUCAGACACCAUCAUACUCAACAGGCCCUUCCUGCUCUUCAUCCUGGAGGACUACCAAGAGCAUCAUCUUCAUGGACAAGAUCACCAACCCCACAGCCGAGUGAAAGACGGAGAGGGAAGGAGGGAGAAAUAAUGAGUGGGAGGAACAUCUGAGGAGAUUAAAGGAAGGUCUUUGUCUCUCAUGCUAGUGGUAAAACAUAAAGGAUCGGUAUCUGACUUUUCGGUUUGCUGUAGAGCAUUCAUGUGUUGGAUGUUUUGUCUAGGCAAGUCAGGGAGUUUUGAACCCGUACAUGUGUUUUUCUAUCUACUGCAUACCUAGAAACAUAGGGUUGUGUGUCUGUGUGUGUCUCUGUGUUUGCGGUUCUGUCAAAAUGUUACUGAUGUCCAUGCCAGUCUGGCG